rnacentral:rRNA from 1 species
UGCGUAGUGACAUGCGGGGGACAUUAGGGCGAGUGUACCGGGUUUAGCUCGAAAUUGUGAUCGGAAAUUCAAUGUAUGAAUUGUAAUCAGGGUUUCUGAAAUACGAACGGCGAUUCAGAGCAUCGAAAGGCUCACCAGAGAGGGUGCAAGUCCCGUACAGUCGUAGUUCGAGUAAGAAACUUCCAAAAGAGUCGGGUUGUUUGGAACUGCAGCCCUAAGUGGGAGAUAUGAAUCUUCCAAAGCUAAAUAAGGAUGGGAGACCGAUAGCGAACAAGUACUGUGAAGGAAAGAUGAAAAGGACUUUGAAAAGAGAGUGAAAAGAUCUGAAAUCGUUGAGAAGUAAGCGGUAAACGCUGACGGUUACUAUGAAUAGUUGAUGCGCCUGCAGAGGUAUCAAAGUAACGGACAAAAUCAAGUUAGAAGUACCAAAAAAACAGGGCACUACUAACUUGAGGGAUUACGAUGAUUUUGUCAAAAUGGUUUUUACCGUCCCGUCUUGAAACACGGACCAAGGAGUCUAACAUAUAUGCGAGUGUGCGAGUGAGAAACUCAUACGCGAAAUGAAAGUAAAAGAUGCUCGCAACGGCAGCAUCGACCUAGUAUGAAAGGUUUGAGUAAGAGCAUAUCUGUUAGGACCCGAAAGAUGGUGAACUAUGCCUGAGUAGGAUGAAGUCAGGGGAAACCUUGAUGGAGGUCCGUAGCGAUGCUAACGUGCAAAUUGCUCGUCAAACUUGGGUAUAGGGGCGAAAGACUAAUCGAACCAUCUAGUAGCUGGUUCCCUCCGAAGUUUCCCUCAGGAUAGCUGGAACAAAAUGCAGUUUUAUCAGGUAAAGCGAAUGAUUAGCGGCAUCAGGGCGCUUUUUGCCUUGACCGAUUCUCAAACUCUAAAGGUAAGAACUCUUUUAAUCUUAAUUGAACUUGGAGACAGAAUGCGUGUUCCUAGUGGGCCAUUUUUGGUAAGCAGAACUGGCGAUGAGGGAUGAACCUAACGUCGAGUUAAGGUGCCCAACUAUACGCUCAUGAGAUACCACAAAAGGUGUUGAUUCAUAUAAACAGCAGGGCGGUGGACAUAAAAGUCGUUACCCGCUAAGGAGUGUGUCAUGACUCACCUGCCGAAUGAAUUAGCCCUGAAAAUGGAUGGCGCUAAAGCGUAUGACCGAUACUCGACCAUCAAUGCAAAAGAUAUAUUGAUGAGUAGGAGGGCGUGGAUGUUAGAAGCUUUUGGCGUGAGCCUGGGUGGAACGACAUCUAGUGCAGAUCUUGGUGGAGUAGCAAAUAGCCAAUUGGAAACGUUGGCGGCCGAAGUGGAGAAGGGUUCCCUGAGAACAGUAAUUGGUCAGGGGUUACGCGGUCCUAAGUUCCUGGUUAACCUGUAUAAGGUGCUCUAUAGCACAGAACGAAAGGAAUCAGGUUGAAAUUCCUGACGCUGUAAAGGAUGGCAACACAAACUAGCUCAGAGACAUCAGCACGUGCUCUUGGAAGAGUUUUCUUUUCUUCUUAACAAGCAAAUGGCCUUGAAAUUGGUUUACCCAGAGAGAAGGCUAUAAGCUUGGCAGAGCAUCUCGUUUUUAGAGAUGUCAGGUGCGCUCGUGAUGAUCCUUGAAAAUCUGAGCCAGAUCGAUUUAUAGGCCGUACCCAUAACCGCAUCAGGUCUCC